rnacentral:rRNA from 1 species
UGGGGAAUUUUGGACAAUGGGCGAAAGCCUGAUCCAGCAAUGCCGCGUGUGUGAAGAAGGCCUUCGGGUUGUAAAGCACUUUUGUCCGGAAAGAAAUCCUUGGCUCUAAUACAGUCGGGGGAUGACGGUACCGGAAGAAUAAGCACCGGCUAACUACGUGCCAGCAGCCGCGGUAAUACGUAGGGUGCAAGCGUUAAUCGGAAUUACUGGGCGUAAAGCGUGCGCAGGCGGUUUGCUAAGACCGAUGUGAAAUCCCCGGGCUCAACCUGGGAACUGCAUUGGUGACUGGCAGGCUAGAGUAUGGCAGAGGGGGGUAGAAUUCCACGUGUAGCAGUGAAAUGCGUAGAGAUGUGGAGGAAUACCGAUGGCGAAGGCAGCCCCCUGGGCCAAAUACUGACGCUCAUGCACGAAAGCGUGGGGAGCAAACAGGAUUAGAUACCCUGGUAGUCCACGCCCUAAAACGAUGUCAACUAGUUGUUGGGGAUUCAUUUCCUUAGUAACGUAGCUAACGCGUGAAGUUGACCGCCUGGGGAGUACGGUCGCAAGAUUAAAACUCAAAGGAAUUGACGGGGUCAUAGCUGUUUCCU